UCCUGGCUCAGAUGGUAAAGAAUCUGCCUGCCUGCCAAGCGGGAGACCCAGGUUCAAUUCCUGGGUUGGGAA
rnacentral:tRNA from 1 species